CCUACGGGUGGCAGCAGUGGGGAAUAUUGGACAAUGGGCGAAAGCCUGAUCCAGCCAUGCCGCGUGUGUGAAGAAGGCCUUCGGGUUGUAAAGCACUUUCAGUGGGGAAGAAAGCCUUGGGGCUAAUACCCUCGAGGAAGGACAUCACCCACAGAAGAAGCACCGGCUAACUCCGUGCCAGCAGCCGCGGUAAUACAGGAGGGUGCGAGCGUUAAUCGGAAUUACUGGGCGUAAAGCGCGCGUAGGCGGUCUGAUAAGCCGGUUGUGAAAGCCCCGGGCUCAACCUGGGAACGGCAUCCGGAACUGUCAGGCUAGAGUGCAGGAGAGGAAGGUAGAAUUCCCGGUGUAGCGGUGAAAUGCGUAGAGCUCGGGAGGAAUACCAGUGGCGAAGGCGGCCUUCUGGACUGACACUGACGCUGAGGUGCGAAAGCGUGGGUAGCAAACAGGAUUAGAUACCCCGGUAGUC
rnacentral:rRNA from 1 species